UAGAAUUGACGGGGCCCGCACAAGCGGUGGAGCAUGUGGUUAAUUCGAUGAUUACGCGAAGAACCUUACCGGGGUUUGACAUGCAGGUGAUCGCCGUUGAAAGACGGUUUUCCUCUUCGGAGGCACCUGCACAGGUGCUGCAUGGCUGUCGUCAGCUCGUGUCGUGAGAUGUUGGGUUAAGUCCCGCAACGAGCGCAACCCUUAUCCCCAGUUGCCAUCAGGUAAAGCUGGGAACUCUGGGGAGACUGCCGGUGAUAAACCGGAGAAGGCGGGGAUGACGUCAAGUCCUCAUGGCCCUUACAUCCCGGGCUACACACGUGCUACAAUGGCAGGUACAGAGGGCUGCGAAGCCGCGAGGUGGAGCGAAUCCCAGAAAACCUGUCUCAGUCCGGAUUGAAGUCUGCAACUCGACUUCAUGAAGGCGGAAUCGCUAGUAACCGCGAAUCAGCAGGUCGCGGUGAAUACGUUCCCGGGCCUU
rnacentral:rRNA from 1 species